rnacentral:rRNA from 1 species
UACGGAGGGUGCAAGCGUUAUCCGGAUUCACUGGGUUUAAAGGGUGCGUAGGCGGGUUGGUAAGUCAGUGGUGAAAUCUUCAAGCUUAACUUGGAAACUGCCGUUGAUACUAUCAAUCUUGAAUAUUGUGGAGGUAAGCGGAAUAUGUCAUGUAGCGGUGAAAUGCUUAGAUAUGACAUAGAACACCGAUAGCGAAGGCAGCUUGCUACACAAUAAUUGACGCUGAGGCACGAAAGCGUGGGGAGCGAACAGG